AUUGGAAUGGCACCCAAGAAAGAAAGUGCUUGACACUAAUUAAGUUUUCAUGGAACUUUAAAACACAACAUUAAAGAAAAUGAAAAUUUGUAAGGGACUUGUAGUUCAAGUGGUUAAAAAUAAUUACCUCUGCACCCGAGGUUGUAGGUUUGAUUCUCCCCUCCUCCAAUAUCGCUUUGUAUCAAAUUAAAGAAAAAUGAAAAUGAAAUUUUUAAUAACAAGACUAGCUAGGGUUUGUGUCCCGAAGGAACAUGUGUGGGCUAGGAGACAUUCUUGAUAUUUCCUUCAUCUCAUUUGGCCACUUGUGAAGAUACAAAAUUGGUUUGCGGGAGUUGUGUGGCACUCAAAAUUAAACCCCAAAUUCCAAUAAAUAGAAGAAAAAACAUGUGAACUAAAGAGCAUAUGCAGGUUUAGAUCUCUACUCUUGGUGCUUAUGAACCCAACAUAUCUACCCUACAAGCUAAUCUCAGCCGACCCCCUUCUCAACACAAUCUGUUCUUGCAUCCAAACUAAGCAAAUUUAUGUGGGAGAUCCCCAUGUCAGAUUCAGAGCAUUUUGAUUAUGCACAAGGUCGACGAAAGAGACUUGUACCAGAAAAGCUUCACAAGCUGACUAAUAUCUUCCAUGCAAAUUCAGCUUUCUUCACCCAUGUGUGUUGGGAUUUUAGUUCUUCAUAUUCUUCAAGCCUUAAAUGUUUUGUUGCGCGGAAACACACCGAAGGCUGUGCUGGGCUGUAGGGAAGUUUUGAAGAAAAAAACAACAAUAAAAUUAUCUACUACAAGAAGUAUGCUGCCCUUUGGUUUCUUCAUCUCAAAAUAUGCAUUAUCUACUGUCUUGUUGUUGUUGAAAUUAUAUGGCAAAAGGUUUUAAUAAGGAAAAAAAAAAAAUGCGCCUGUAUGGCUCACCAUCAACUAUAAAACUAUAUGUUUUCUCUUUUAAGAACGGAAAAAUAUGUU